CAGCUAAAUGUGAAGUUCAGAUCAAUGUUGAAUUUGGUUUUAGUGUAAGUAUAUCCCAUGCAACAUUUGGGAUAUACUUAUACUAAAAAAAAAAAUUAUUCAUU
rnacentral:miRNA from 10 species